CCUGCUAGAAAUUCUCACCCCAGCUAGACACUCUGAUACACACUCAGGUUUGAUGAGAACUGCACAUGGAGGUGCAGAUGGACACACACACACAUCAUGGUCAAAGAAUCUGCUUUCUACAGAUUUCAGGAGAAACACAUCUCCUACCUGUGCUUCUAGCAUCUCCUCGCCCGUGGGGGAUUCUAUUGAUGCUGAGGAUGUACCCAUCUUGAGUGGUGACUUCAUACUCCUCACUGGGGUAGCCAUUAUAGGUGAUGAUCUCACUCUGUCCGGUGAAAAUACACGAAUUAGCUCAACAUCUUCUCCAGAGGUUAUCAGAAGAAACUAGAACAAAGCAUCUGUUAUGUGAAGUCUCUGCUCAUCUUCCAGUUGCCGGAUACCUGAAGGCAACGAGGACAGGUGUCCAAGCCACAGCAACAUGAAAAGUGCUCCUACCCCAACUGGCUUCCCACAAAACAAACAAGAACAAUGAGCAGAGAACCUGAGGACCGGUUUCCAGGGACGGGAUUAUUUCCCUUGUGGACACCCAGAGGGGAAGGCACAUUGAAAUGUGUCAUCUCUUCCUUGGCUUAAAAGCAUCUCUUCCUGGACAGCCCGACCUCAUCGCAGUGCAGAGGGUCGUCCUGUAAGAGCUGCAGCCCCAUGGCCCGAGAUCGAGGUCCAGCCUCACCACUCCCAAGAUUUCUGACCUUGGGCAACUUAUUUAGCAGCUUUGUCUCUUGCUUUCCUUGUGGGCAAAAUUAGAAUAACAACGUAACCUCCCUUACAGGGUUACAGGAACGAUUAAGUGACCUACAGAGCACUAAAUACAGGUAAGCCCUUUCACUGUUUUUUCUAAUCUGAGCAAGAGCCAGAAAGGAACACCGGAGAACUUUUACCGGAACAAAUUAAUGACUGACUUCUAGAAAUUGAGAGCUUCCUUCUGAAGUUAAAUAGCUUCCCAUGUUUGCUGUCUGGUUGAAGAUAAUCUUCUAUCUGCAAACAUUAUAUAAUUUUAAAUGUUUUUAAAACUAGUGAUGGCCAAUGUCUACUGAGUGCUGAGCUUGUGCGGAGAAUGGUUCUAUAUACUUUGUGUAUGUUAUUUAAAUCUGAAAGAGGGGCGCCUGGGUGGCUCAGUUGGUUGGGCGUCUGACUUCGGGAC